GUACACGCUGUGACUAGCAUAUCAAUAAGCGGAGGAAAAGUAAAUGCUGUAUACCUACGCUUAGGAUGUUGACACACGCGCGUGCUCGGCUCUAUACAUGACUCUGUGCAUAUCAAUAAGCGGAGGAAAAGGAUGGGAACGACGUACCUACGCUUAGGAUGUUGACACACAGCGCGUGCUCGACUCUAUACAUGACUCUGCGCAUAUCAAUAAGCGGAGGAAAAGAAACUAACAAGGAUUCCCCUAGUAACGGCGAGUGAAGCGGGAAGAGCUCAAAUUUGAAAUCUUAAAGGGUUUCCCUUUACGGAUUGUAGUUUAAAGAAGUGUUUUCUGUUGAGGUUUUGGUAAAAGUUCUUUGGAAUAGGACAUCAUAGAGGGUGAGAAUCCCGUAUUUGACCUUUACUUUCAACUUUGUGAUACACUUUCAAAGAGUCGGAUUGUUUGGGAAUGCAGUCCAAAAUGGGUGGUAAAUUUCAUCUAAAGCUAAAUAUUGGCGAGAGACCGAUAGCGAACAAGUACCGUGAGGGAAAGAUGAAAGGAACUUUGAAAAGAGAGUUAAACAGUACGUGAAAUUGUCAAAAGGGAAGCGUUUGACACCAGUGUUGUUUUUCUGAAAAUCAAUUAAAGAACUGUUUAUGCUAAGCUGUUUAGACUUUAUCAGCUAUCUGUUUAGUUUUGAGCUUUUCUUUAACGCACUUUUCAGUUAACAAGUCAACAUCAAUUUCUUUUGCUGUAAAAAGGCUUGAGGAAGGUGGCUUGAGAUUCGUCUUAAGUGUUUAUAGCCUCUUGCCUAUGCAGUCGGAGAGAUUGAGGUCUGCAGCGUAGAUCCUUCGGGGCUAAAUGCAUUUGUGCUAAGUUAUAGCAUUUUAUAGACAACUUGUUGACUAUGAUUUGUCUUGUAGCUUACUCGCUUAUGUUAUUUUACCUACGCUUAGGAUGUUGAUCUACAGAGCGAGAGU
rnacentral:rRNA from 1 species